rnacentral:rRNA from 1 species
UGCGUAGGUGGCGAGGUAAGUCGGAUGUGAAAUCUCCAAGCUCAACUUGGAAAUGGCAUUGGAAACUACCUUGCUUGAGGUUUGGAGGGGGGACUGGAAUUCUCGGUGUAGCAGUGAAAUGCGUAGAUAUCGAGAGGAACACCAGUGGCGAAGGCGAGUCCCUGGACAACACCUGACACUGAGGCACGAAAGCUAGGGGAGCAAACA